GAACGCGAAGAACCUUACCAGGUCUUGACAUCCCUCUGACCGCUCUAGAGAUAGAGCUUUCCUUCGGGACAGAGGUGACAGGUGGUGCAUGGUUGUCGUCAGCUCGUGUCGUGAGAUGUUGGGUUAAGUCCCGCAACGAGCGCAACCCCUAUUGUUAGUUGCCAUCAUUCAGUUGGGCACUCUAGCGAGACUGCCGGUAAUAAACCGGAGGAAGGUGGGGAUGACGUCAAAUCAUCAUGCCCCUUAUGACCUGGGCUACACACGUGCUACAAUGGCUGGUACAACGAGUCGCAAGCCGGUGACGGCAAGCUAAUCUCUUAAAACCAGUCUCAGUUCGGAUUGUAGGCUGCAACUCGCCUACAUGAAGUCGGAAUCGCUAGUAAUCGCGGAUCAGCACGCCGCGGUGAAUACGUUCCCGGGUCUUGUACACACC
rnacentral:rRNA from 1 species